AUCUGGUCGAGAUACUGAAGAAACUUCCAGAUCAUCCUGCUGCAGAGGUGUCAGUGGAGCAAGGUGAAACUCAACAUGAAGAUGAACAGCACUGGUCCAGAGAGUUUAAGGCUCAGGCUCAGCCUUGAAAGGUCCAUCUGCACAAUCUGCUCACUGAACUCAAGACCAAACCAGCUGAAGCAUGCACUGAGGUGGGAGUUUGAUUAGAGGUUUGAGGAUGGAUACCACACUUCAAUGUCUCAACAAGAUCUCUUCAGUGGAUCAUUGAAGAUGAACACAUCAUUGGUUGGAGUAUGAUGAUGGUGCAGUGACUCCUUCAGCAGCAUCACUGAGCUCUUCUAGCUGGAGGUAUCUGUCUGUGGACGUUUAGGAAGAUGCUGUGAUUUCUGCAUGGAGUGUCUGCUCAGGUCUGGCAACAUGAAGUCUUCACAUACUCUUGGUCUUGGCUCACUAUGAGACACAAAUUGGAUCAAGCUGCCUGUCAACUAUCCAUGUGAAGCAAGAUGAUGGAGGAUCAAGCUGCCUGUCAACUAUCCAUGUGAAGCAAGAUGAUGGAGGUGUCGACAAACCAACUGGAUCUGUUGCCUGCUGCUUUGUGGCAUUGUGAUGCUGGACACAUCUGAGUGACAACAUGGAAGCAUCAACCAUCUUAUGCUGCAAAUACUGACGGCUACAGUUAAAAUUCUGCUGUAGCUCAAUACAGACUUUAGAAAACAUGUAAAGAAUAUUAAACAUGUCAUAAAUAAUG